rnacentral:rRNA from 1 species
GACGAACGCUGGCGGCGUGCUUAACACAUGCAAGUCGAACGGAAAGGCCCUGCUUUUGUGGGGUGCUCGAGUGGCGAACGGGUGAGUAACACGUGAGUAACCUGCCCUUGACUUUGGGAUAACUUCAGGAAACUGGGGCUAAUACCGGAUAGGAGCUCCUGCUGCAUGGUGGGGGUUGGAAAGUUUCGGCGGUUGGGGAUGGACUCGCGGCUUAUCAGCUUGUUGGUGGGGUAGUGGCUUACCAAGGCUUUGACGGGUAGCCGGCCUGAGAGGGUGACCGGCCACAUUGGGCCUGAGAUGCGGCCCAGACUCCUACGGGAGGCAGCGGUGGGGAAUAUUGCACUAUGGGCGGAAGCCUGAUGCAGCAACGCCGCGUGCGGGAUGACGGCCUUCGGGUUGUAAUCCGCUUUCGCCUGUGACGAAGCGUGAGUGACGGUAAUGGGUAAAGAAGCACCGGCUAACUACGUG